AACUGAUACUACCUGCGGGAACCUGCGGAGGGAUCAUUAACAAAUCCGAUUUUGUGGAUGGGGUAACCCGUUUGCAAUAUUUACUCGCCGGUUUGGCCCAUUGGGUUGAACUGGUGAUAUUAUAUAAAUGCAUGUUGUGUUGACAGUGUGUGAGUGACUUUAAUUAUUGACAACUUUUAGCAACGGAUCUCU
rnacentral:misc_RNA from 1 species